rnacentral:rRNA from 1 species
UACGGAGGAUGCGAGCGUUAUCCGGAUUUAUUGGGUUUAAAGGGUGCGUAGGCGGGCUUUUAAGUCAGCGGUAAAAAUUCGGGGCUCAACCCCGUCCGGCCGUUGAAACUGGGGGCCUUGAGUGGGCGAGAAGAAGGCGGAAUGCGUGGUGUAGCGGUGAAAUGCGUAGAUAUCACGCAGAACCCCGAUUGCGAAGGCAGCCUUCCGGCGCCCUACUGACGCUGAGGCACGAAAGUGCGGGGAUCGAACAGG